UUCUGGCUCAGGAUGAACGCUAGCGGCAGGCUAACACAUGCAAGUCGAGGGCAGCGCGAGUAGCAAUACUUGGCGGCGACCGGCGCAAGGGUGCGUAACGCGUGAGCAACAUGCCCGUAUCAGGGGGAUAAUCCAGGGAAACUUGGUCUAAUACCCCAUAGUAAUUUUGUAAGGCAUCUUAUAAGAUUUAAAGCUUUGGUGGAUACGGAUUGGCUCGCGUGACAUUAGCUGGAUGGUAAGGUAACGGCUUACCAUGGCUAUGAUGUCUAGGGGUUCUGAGAGGAAGGUCCCCCACACUGGAACUGAGACACGGUCCAGACUCCUACGGGAGGCAGCAGUGAGGAAUAUUGGACAAUGGAUGGAAAUCUGAUCCAGCCAUGCCGCGUGAAAAGGAAGAAGGUCCUAUGGAUUGUAAACUUCUUUUGUAUGGGAGCAAUAAGGCCUACGAGUAGGUUGAUGAGAGUACCAUACGAAUAAGCACCGGCUAACUCCGUGCCAGCAGCAGC
rnacentral:rRNA from 1 species